rnacentral:rRNA from 1 species
GACGAACGCUGGCGGCGUGCCUAACACAUGCAAGUCGAACGGUGAAGCGCCUUCCUUUUUGGUGGGUGUGGAUGAGUGGCGAACGGGUGAGUAACACGUGAGUAACCUGCCCCCUUCUUCUGGAUAACCGCAUGAAAGUGUGGCUAAUACGGGAUAUUCUGGGUCUGUCGCAUGAUGGGUCUGGGAAAGAUAUUGUUUCGGUGGGGGAUGGGCUCGCGGCCUAUCAGCUUGUUGGUGGGGUGAUGGCCUACCAAGGCGGUGACGGGUAGCCGGCCUGAGAGGGUGGACGGUCACACUGGGACUGAGACACGGCCCAGACUCCUACGGGAGGCAGCAGUGGGGAAUAUUGCACAAUGGGCGCAAGCCUGAUGCAGCGACGCCGCGUGAGGGAUGGAGGCCUUCGGGUUGUGAACAUCUUUCGCCAGUGAAGCAGGCCUGCCUCGUUUGUGGGUGGGUUGACGGUAGCUGGAUAAGAAGCGCCGGCUAACUACGUG